GGGGAUUUAGCUCAGCGGCAUAAGUACCUGCCUUGCAAGCAGGUGGCCGUGAGUUCAAUCCUCG
rnacentral:tRNA from 1 species